rnacentral:rRNA from 1 species
AUUGAACGCUGGCGGCAUGCCUUACACAUGCAAGUCGAACGGCAGCACGGGGGCAACCCUGGUGGCGAGUGGCGAACGGGUGAGUAAUGCAUCGGAACGUGCCCAGUAGUGGGGGAUAACCAGUCGAAAGACUGGCUAAUACCGCAUACGACCUAAGGGUGAAAGCGGGGGACCGUAAGGCCUCGCGCUAUUGGAGCGGCCGAGGUCUGAUUAGCUAGUUGGCGGGGUAAGAGCCCACCAAGGCUACGAUCAGUAGCUGGUCUGAGAGGACGACCAGCCACACGGGGACUGAGACACGGCCCAGACUCCUACGGGAGGCAGCAGUGGGGAAUUUUGGACAAUGGGCGCAAGCCGGCUCCAGCCAUGCCGCGUGCGGGAAGAAGGCCUUCGGGUUGUAAACCGCUUUUGGCAGGAACGAAACGGCGCAAGCCAAUACCUUGCGCUAAUGACGGUACCUGCAGAAUAAGCACCGGCUAACUACGUGCCAGCAGCCGCCGUAAAAC